rnacentral:SRP_RNA from 2 species
GCCGGGCAUGGUGGCUCAUGCCUGUAAUCCCAACACUUUGGGAGGCUGAGGCAGGUGGAUCACUUGAGGUCAGGAGUUCAAGACCAGCCUGGCCAACAUGGUGAAACCCCGUCUCUA